UCUCCGUUGGUGAACCAGCGGAGGGAUCAUUACCGAGUUUACAACUCCCAAACCCAAUGUGAACGUUACCAAACUGUUGCCUCGGCGGGAUCUCUGCCCCGGGCGCGUCGCAGCCCCGGACCAAGGCGCCCGCCGGAGGAAAAACAACCAAAACUCUUUUGUAUACCCCCUCGCGGGUUUUUUAAAUGCUUUCUGAGCCUUCUCGGCGCCCCUAGCGGGCGUUUCGAAAAUGAAUCUAAACUUUCAACAACGGAUCUCUUGGUUCUG
rnacentral:misc_RNA from 1 species